GCUGAUGCGUUGUUGGGUAGGGGAGCGUUCUGUAAGCCUGUGAAGGUGGCCUGUGAGGGUUGCUGGAGGUAUCAGAAGUGCGAAUGCUGACAUAAGUAACGAUAAAGCGGGUGAAAAGCCCGCUCGCCGGAAGACCAAGGGUUCCUGUCCAACGUUAAUCGGGGCAGGGUGAGUCGACCCCUAAGGCGAGGCCGAAAGGCGUAGUCGAUGGGAAACGGGUUAAUAUUCCCGUACUUGGUGUUACUGCGAAGGGGGGACGGAGAAGGCUAUGUUGGCCGGGCGACGGUUGUCCCGGUUUAAGCGUGUAGGUGUGUGUUCCAGGUAAAUCCGGUUCACUUUAACACUGAGGCGUGAUGACGAGGCACUACGGUGCUGAAGCAACAAAUGCCCUGCUUCCAGGAAAAGCCUCUAAGCAUCAGGUAACAUCAAAUCGUACCCCAAACCGACACAGGUGGUCAGGUAGAGAAUACCAAGGCGCUUGAGAGAACUCGGGUGAAGGAACUAGGCAAAAUGGUGCCGUAACUUCGGGAGAAGGCACGCUGACACGUAGGUGAAGUGAUUUACUCAUGGAGCUGAAGUCAGUCGAAGAUACCAGCUGGCUGCAACUGUUUAUUAAAAACACAGCACUGUGCAAACACGAAAGUGGACGUAUACGGUGUGACGCCUGCCCGGUGCCGGAAGGUUAAUUGAUGGGGUCAGCGCAAGCGAAGCUCCUGAUCGAAGCCCCGGUAAACGGCGGCCGUAACUAUAACGGUCCUAAGGUAGCGAAAUUCCUUGUCGGGUAAGUUCCGACCUGCACGAAUGGCGUAAUGAUGGCCAGGCUGUCUCCACCCGAGACUCAGUGAAAUUGAACUCGCUGUGAAGAUGCAGUGUACCCGCGGCAAGACGGAAAGACCCCGUGAACCUUUACUAUAGCUUGACACUGAACAUUGAGCCUUGAUGUGUAGGAUAGGUGGGAGGCUUUGAAGUGUGGACGCCAGUCUGCAUGGAGCCGACCUUGAAAUACCACCCUUUAAUGUUUGAUGUUCUAACGUGGACCCGUAAUCCGGGUUGCGGACAGUGUCUGGUGGGUAGUUUGACUGGGGCGGUCUCCUCCUAAAGAGUAACGGAGGAGCACGAAGGUUGGCUAAUCCUGGUCGGACAUCAGGAGGUUAGUGCAAUGGCAUAAGCCAGCUUGACUGCGAGCGUGACGGCGCGAGCAGGUGCGAAAGCAGGUCAUAGUGAUCCGGUGGUUCUGAAUGGAAGGGCCAUCGCUCAACGGAUAAAAGGUACUCCGGGGAUAACAGGCUGAUACCGCCCAAGAGUUCAUAUCGACGGCGGUGUUUGGCACCUCGAUGUCGGCUCAUCACAUCCUGGGGCUGAAGUAGGUCCCAAGGGUAUGGCUGUUCGCCAUUUAAAGUGGUACGCGAGCUGGGUUUAGAACGUCGUGAGACAGUUCGGUCCCUAUCUGCCGUGGGCGCUGGAGAACUGAGGGGGGCUGCUCCUAGUACGAGAGGACCGGAGUGGACGCAUCACUGGUGUUCGGGUUGUCAUGCCAAUGGCACUGCCCGGUAGCUAAAUGCGGAAGAGAUAAGUGCUGAAAGCAUCUAAGCACGAAACUUGCCCCGA
rnacentral:rRNA from 1 species